rnacentral:rRNA from 1 species
AGCAAGUCGAGCGGACAGAUGGGAGCUUGCUCCCUGAUGUUAGCGGCGGACGGGUGAGUAACACGUGGGUAACCUGCCUGUAAGACUGGGAUAACUCCGGGAAACCGGGGCUAAUACCGGAUGGUUGUUUGAACCGCAUGGUUCAAACAUAAAAGGUGGCUUCGGCUACCACUUACAGAUGGACCCGCGGCGCAUUAGCUAGUUGGUGAGGUAACGGCUCACCAAGGCAACGAUGCGUAGCCGACCUGAGAGGGUGAUCGGCCACACUGGGACUGAGACACGGCCCAGACUCCUACGGGAGGCAGCAGUAGGGAAUCUUCCGCAAUGGACGAAAGUCUGACGGAGCAACGCCGCGUGAGUGAUGAAGGUUUUCGGAUCGUAAAGCUCUGUUGUUAGGGAAGAACAAGUACCGUUCGAAUAGGGCGGUACCUUGACGGUACCUAACCAGAAAGCCACGGCUAACUACGUGCCAGCAGCCGCGGUAAUACGUAGGUGGCAAGCGUUGUCCGGAAUUAUUGGGCGUAAAGGGCUCGCAGGCGGUUUCUUAAGUCUGAUGUGAAAGCCCCCGGCUCAACCGGGGAGGGUCAUUGGAAACUGGGGAACUUGAGUGCAGAAGAGGAGAGUGGAAUUCCACGUGUAGCGGUGAAAUGCGUAGAGAUGUGGAGGAACACCAGUGGCGAAGGCGACUCUCUGGUCUGUAACUGACGCUGAGGAGCGAAAGCGUGGGGAGCGAACAGGAUUAGAUACCCUGGUAGUCCACGCCGUAAACGAUGAGUGCUAAGUGUUAGGGGGUUUCCGCCCCUUAGUGCUGCAGCUAACGCAUUAAGCACUCCGCCU